rnacentral:rRNA from 1 species
CCUACGGGAGGCAGCAGUGAGGAAUAUUGGUCAAUGUGCGCGAGCCUGAACCAGCCAAGUAGCGUGAAGGAUGACUGCCCUAUGGGUUGUAAACUUCUUUUAUAAAGGAAUACAGUGAUGCACGUGUGCCUUUUUGUAUGUACUUUAUGAAUAAGGAUCGGCUAACUCCGUGCCAGCAGCCGCGGUAAUACGGAGGAUCCGAGCGUUAUGCGGAUUUAUUGGGUUUAAAGGGAGCGUAGAUGGGUUGUUAAGUCAGUUGUGAAAGUUUUCGGCUCAACCGUAAAAUUGCAAUUGAUACUGGCAGCCUUGAGUACAGUAGAGGUAGGCGGAAUUCGUGGUGUAGCGGUGAAAUGCUUAGAUAUCACGAAGAACUCCGAUUGCGAAGGCAGCCUACUAGACUGCCACUGACACUGAUGCUCGAAAGUGUGGGUAUCAAACAGGAUUAGAUACCCCUGUAGUC